ACUGGCUGUUUCUGUAUUGGCACUGGUAUAGAUUCUCGGUCAGCUGUAUUGGCCCUCGACCCUACGGGUCUCGAGGCCAAUACAGCAAACCUUGAAUCUAUGCCAGUGCCAAUACAGAAACAGCCAGU
rnacentral:sRNA from 1 species